rnacentral:rRNA from 1 species
GACGAACGCUGGCGGCGUGCCUAAUACAUGCAAGUCGAGCGAAGUUUUUCUGGUGCUUGCACUAGAAAAACUUAGCGGCGAACGGGUGAGUAACACGUAAAGAACCUGCCUCAUAGACUGGGACAACUAUUGGAAACGAUAUCUAAUACCGGAUAACAGUAUUUCUCGCAUGAGAGAUAUUUAAAAGUUGGUUAUGCUAACACUAUGAGAUGGCUUUGCGGUGCAUUAGCUAGUUGGUGGGGUAAAGGCCCACCAAGGCGACGAUGCAUAGCCGACCUGAGAGGGUGAUCGGCCACACUGGGACUGAGACACGGCCCAGACUCCUACGGGAGGCAGCAGUAGGGAAUCUUCCGCAAUGGGCGAAAGCCUGACGGAGCAACGCCGCGUGAGUGAAGAAGGAUUUCGGUUCGUAAAGCUCUGUUGUUAGGGAAGAAUGGAUAUGUAGUAACUAUACAUGUAAGAGACGGUACCUAACCAGAAAGCCACGGCUAACUACGUG